rnacentral:lncRNA from 1 species
CACCCAAAACAUCCACUGAGUGAGGAUCGAGCCACCGGAUAGCAGUAAAACCCUAGGUUCAACCACCAGAAACCCUAGAAUCUAGAGAGUCACCGGAAAAUCACCCAAAACGUUCGAGUGAAGAAGAUAUACCCAGAUAUCACAGUGAAAGUCUCAGAUCAACAUCCGAUUUAGAUCGGAAUCGUCAUCGACCAAAUACGUCAGAAACACCCCCAAAAAUUUCAAAC